AUUGGACAAUGGGCGGAAGCCUGAUCCAGCCAUGCCGCGUGUGUGAAGAAGGCCUUUCGGUUGUAUAGCACUUUAAGCGAGGAGGAGGCUCCUUUAGUUAAUACCUAAAGAGAGUGGACGUUACUCGCAGAAUAAGCACCGGCUAACUCUGUGCCAGCAGCCGCGGUAAUACAGAGGGUGCGAGCGUUAAUCGGAUUUACUGGGCGUAAAGCGUGCGUAGGCGGCUUUUUAAGUCGGAUGUGAAAUCCCUGAGCUUAACUUAGGAAUUGCAUUCGAUACUGGGGAGCUAGAGUAUGGGAGAGGAUGGUAGAAUUCCAGGUGUAGCGGUGAAAUGCGUAGAGANUCUNGGAGGNANNAUACCGAUGGCGAAGGCAGCCAUCUGGCCUAAUACUGACGCUGAGGUACGAAAGCAUGGGGAGCAAACAGGAUUAGAUACCCUGGUAGUCCAUGCCGUAAACGAUGUCUACUAGCCGUUGGGGCCUUUGAGGCUUUAGUGGCGCAGCUAACGCGAUAAGUAGACCGCCUGGGGAGUACGGUCGCAANGACUAAAACUCAAAUGAAUUGACGGGGGCCCGCACAAGCGGUGGAGCAUGUGGUUUAAUUCGAUGCAACGCGAAGAACCUUACCUGGCCUUGACAUACUAAGAACUUUCCAGAGAUGGAUUGGUGCCUUCGGGAACUUAGAUACAGGUGCUGCAUGGCUGUCGUCAGCUCGUGUCGUGAGAUGUUGGGUUAAGUCCCGCAACGAGCGCAACCCUUUUCCUUAUUUGCCAUCGGGUAAUGCCGGGAACUUUAAGGAUACUGCCAGUGACAAACUGGUGGAAGGCGGGGACGACGUCAAGUCAUCAUGGCCCUUACGGCCAGGGCUACACACGUGCUACAAUGGUCGGUACAAAGGGUUGCUACCUCGCGAGAGGAUGCUAAUCUCAAAAAGCCGAUCGUAGUCCGGAUCGCAGUCUGCAACUCGACUGCGUGAAGUCGGAAUCGCUAGUAAUCGCGGAUCAGAAUGCCGCGGUGAAUACGUUCCCGGGCCUUGUACACACCGCCCGUCACACCAUGGGAGUUUGUUACACCAGAAGUAGGUAGUCUAACCGCAAGGGAGGACGCUUA
rnacentral:rRNA from 1 species